rnacentral:RNase_P_RNA from 1 species
GCUGUAAAAAACACUAUCGCGGCUCCGAAAGGAGAUGAGGAAAGUCCGGACAACACAGAGCACCACACCAUCUAACGGAUGGGCUGCAGUCUGGGAACGGCCUGCAGACAGCAAGUGUCACAGAAAACAGACUUCCGGCCACAAGCCGGUAAAGGUGAAAACGUGCGGUAAGAGCGCACGCGCUGGUAUGGCAACAUAUCUUCGGACAAACCUUGUGGGUUGAAAUGCCAUGUACAUUCUGAGUCCCGCUUGCGGGAGCCGGGCUGCUCGUUCGGUGAGCUUGAAUCGUCAGAAGGGGUAGGCAGAUAGAGCCAUUCAGUGAUGAAUGGCCUAGAUAGAUGAUAGUAUUUCCCUUUUGGGAAAAACAGAAUCCGGCUUAUUUUUUACAGCUAUU